CCUGAUCCUCCUUCGCAGAACCGACGAGUGCGCCGGCAGCACCUCCCAUCCCCUCGUAUCAUCUCCCCUCUUAUCAUCUUCCCUAUCCCUACCCAGAACGAGACCUCACAAGUCGCCGGAUUAGAGGAGAGGAAAAUUUGAGCUCCUACCUACUGGACUUGCUCGGCGUCACGGCCGACGAGGACGUCUACAUCUCCCUCCUCAUGUACUCCGCCGACACUGUCGAGGUCACCGCCGUGCACACCCACAUCGUCGCCACAGGUGUUGCGCCUGGUCUCCCUCCGCCGUUGCUCGCCUACGUGAGGUGUUCGACGGAAAAUUCCCUUCAACGACGGCAUCACGUGGGCGACCAUGGUGUCUGCAUCCCGCCAGUUAGCGCCCUCCAUAUGCCUGGGUAUGUUGGAUUUGAGGCACUUGGCUUGGAUCUUCCCGAGAGCAGAACACGUACGUACAGCUGCAAGCUAAGCAAGCUGCUGAUUGAUUUUAUGCGUAGACGUUGGUCUGAACCUUCUGGCUGGCUACAUAAGCAAGCACUCAGGCAGCUGGAUGGAUUCCGGGCACACAGCUUGCCGUGAACCUUGUACAUCUUGGCUUGUCCUACCUUGCUUGGCUGGAUUGAUUCACUAUUUUUUUUCAAUUUGGAUUUAAAGGCUAAUGGAGUGUUUGCAUCUGGUGCUGUUGAUUUUGCAGAAAUUGCUGCUCCAACAGGCAGCAAACCAAUCAUUUGAUAUUUGAGGGACAGCAGUCAGCAGGCGCUUUGAGGAAGCACUGGUGUUGGCAAAUAAAAGAAUGCUUUAGCUUUUGGAGAUUUUAAGAUAGCUUUUUCUGUGGGCAAGCUGGACCUGAUACUCAAAGGACCUUAAGUUCUAACCAAAGAUGACAAUGUGGAUGGUCACAUUUCAAAGUGUUUUUUCUUUCUCAGACACAUGUUCAUUGGUGACAACCAAGAGCAUGCUCAAAAAUGGCAUCGUCUUGCUUCGUUUCUUCACCUCAGCUAAAGUGCUUAAUCUUGAGAAGAUGAAAGAUAAUUGAUAGAGUACUCCUGACAAGUGCAUUUGUCAAAUUCUAGCCAACAGAUUGAAAGCAUGUCUACCUAUUUGUGAGUUUCAGUUCCAUUCAAUCUUCCUUUUCUUUUUGGAUCCAAUGUAGAGGAGACCAUGUGACUGGUUGUUGAUUGCCCAAACACUAUUUCCUCUACA